GGAGAGGUAUCGAAGUGGUCAUAACGAGGCGGUCUUGAAAACCGUUUGGGUUUUCGCCCACGUGGGUUCGAAUCCCACCCUCUCCG
rnacentral:tRNA from 1 species